rfam:Dipodomys ordii contig_3125, whole genome shotgun sequence.
UGGCUCAGUGGUAGAGCGCUUGCCUUGCAUGCAUGAGGCCUUGGGUUCGAUUCCUCA